UCUGUGUCUCACUCUCUACCCCAACAGCUGUACGUCUUCUGUAGCACAAUCCUGAGAGUUCAAGAACGAUCCAGAGAGCCAUGAAGAGAAUUAGAGAGAGAGAGAGAGAGAGAUAGAAUGAGAGAGAGGUGAACUUCAGGAAAGAUAAAGAAUUCAUCUCACAUCUCAUCAUCUCAGCACGAGACUGAUCGGAGAGGCACACAAAGAAAGAAGUGGGAGAGGGAUCUGGGUUUUGACUACAGCCCCAAAUUUCAAAUCGGGUAUUGUUCGGUUUGGCUGUGAGGAGGAAGAGGACCUGCGUUUUGGAUAACUCUGUGUUUUGAGCCAAGGAAAAGAUGAGGGACUUGGGUAUAGGGUUGUGAUCGAUACUUAAUUUUUGGGGGUUUGUAAAAGUCCAAGCACUAAGAUACAGAAGACAACAGGACAUAUCAAUCUUUGUUUGUUUUGGAAUAGGAUCUGUUGUGUGUCUUGGACUGUUUGGUUUUGGUCAAAGCAGGUUUGGGAUAAGCAAAUUAUAAUUUGAAAACAGUUGGGACUUGAAAGUUGCAUAUAUUGAAGAAGUUGGGAAGACCAGGUGUUUUAAGCUCCUAGAGGCAGUGGUUUGGGAGUUUUAAGGAUUUUGCUACCCAACUCCAGCAUCUUCCGCAGCUGCAACUAAAACAAUCACCUUUUGAACAACCGGCGCACUCACUAUUUUGAACAACCUCCAGCAGCAACUUUUGCUAGAUUAACUUAUAACCUUUUUGUUGAGGUAGCAUUUUUGCACCAGCUCCAGUUGAAUGGACUUCAACUAAAAGAGAUCGGUUGUGUGUGUUUGCUUCGCACGAGGAGGUAGAGAGAUAGAUCGGAGGGUAAGUUUGAAUCCUCAAUCCGGGUUGAGAGAUAAAGAGAGUUAGAGAGAUCGGUUGUAUUUGUUUGCUUCGGACGAGGAGGUAGAGAGAUAGAUCGGAGGAAAAGUUUGAAUCUUCAAUCCGGAGUCUGGGUUUUGGGUCUCUUGCCUUUGUUUUUGUUCUGAUCGAGUUUCCAACCUUGGAAUUGAUUGUAGGCUAUGUAGAAAUCUGAUGGUAAGAACCCUCUUCUUAUUGUUUCUUCUUUUCAUGAUCAGAGUAAUCAGCAAAAGAAGAAGCGGUUUCAUUUUCAGCAAAAGCAAAAUAAGAAAAGCGGUUCACUUGAUUUGAUGGCUUCAAUUGCAUGAUGGCUGUUUUCAUUUUUCUUUUUAUUAUGAACAGACAUAAUGUUUCACAUUUUAACCUUCUACUUAAAUGCAUUUUUCGCGGGUGAAGCUAUUUGGUUGGCAUUGAUUGCUAUUGAUCUUUCUUCUGUUAACUGAAGCUUAUCUGAUUCAAUUCUUAAUGUAUGCGAUUUGGUUUCCUUCUGCAGCCUGGGUUUUAACUUUUCAACAGUUCCAAGAUCCAAAUUUUUUGUUUUCAAUCUUUC